AUUAGAAUUGCUGGGUUAUAUGAUAACUCUAUAUUUAAUUCUUUGAAGAACUGCCAGACUAUUUUCUAAAGAACUACAUCAUUUUACAUUCCCACCAGCAAU
rnacentral:pre_miRNA from 1 species